rnacentral:lncRNA from 1 species
GAAGUGGGGAUCGGCGAGCGGGUGGGUGCGCCUCGGGCCGCGGGACUCGCAGCCGCCACCGCCGCUGCCGCCUCUACGGCCGCGUCAGAACUGAAGAGAGGAAGGGGAGGAGCCGAGUCGAGCCUAAGCUGCCGCCCGAUCUUACCCCUGACCCGAGGGCGGCCUGGAGAGCUUGGUCUGUAGCGGUUUCCUUCGGGGCAGGUGGGGACUGCUCCUUUGGGAGGAAGGAGGAGGCCCAGGCCGCGUCUUCAGGCAGCUGCGCGCACCACCCGAAGGUGAGGCAUUUGGCCCCAAACAGACCCUCGAAAAGCCGGACUGAUCGAGGAGUUACCCUACAGCCUGAUCUGCACCUGCUCCAGGGAGAGAGCGCCCCACCCUUCCCGUGGCGUGGGGUGAGACCCAGCGUUGGAUAACGUGUGGUCGGGCCGAGCAAAUGUUUGAUGAAUGAAUGAAUGAAUGAAUGCCUCUCUCACGUGGCACUCGUGAAGCUCAGAGGAUAUGGUGGAAGUGCAAGCGCUUUGUAAACUGCAGUGCAUUGUAAAAAUGAGUUGUAAUACAUUCCUCCCCUCCCCCUAGCCAUGAAAGGAAACAGGGGUGCGGCUUGAGUACAGAGUCACAACCUGAGUCUUUAGUGGAAAAGGAGACGAAAUGCCGAGCAAGGGAAGGGACCCAUCCUCGCGCAGAUUGUUAGGGCGGCGGGAAGGGAGGAUUGGAAGGGAGCCAUCCUCUGGGAGAUUGCUGAAGGAUUUUUGACUGUCAGGGGAAGAAUUUAAUAGUCCCUCACUUUUACGAAUGGUUCUUUCUUACGGUUUGGAGCUUUCGAGAGCUUCUGGUCUUGGUUCAUCAGUGUACGUUGUCAUCAAGAAAUGUUGGCCUGUUUCAGGUCUGACUCAAAGGUUAUUUUCUUUCUAAAAUAAGUGUUAUUACUAUUAUGCAGCUUUUCCUACAGAUGUUAUCCUGGAAAGGAAAGUUAAGUAGAAACUCAUGAAGUUUAAAGUGUAGUUCUCUAGGAAAACAAAUUUAAGAUAAAAGGACCAGAAUCCUCAGAAAUCUGUCUUCAGUGAAUAGUAUGAGAAAAAGAUUAAAGCAGCAGCAAUGAUGAAAGCAGAUUCCACAAUUCUGUCCCUGGACCCUAGUACACUCUACCUCCUUGGGAAGCAGUAGUAAUGGAUUUUACAAGUCUUUCCACCUGGAGGAGGGGGUAAGGUAGGAGCAAGUGUAUUAUAGACAAAUGUGGGAAGCUCUGGGUUUCUCCCACUACUGCCACUACCAUCUGCAAACAGUAAACUAAGGAAACUUUUAACUGGGUAAAUCCAAGGGCUCGUGUUCAUUAAAAUGCUGCGGGAAAGGUGGUGAGAGGGGCAAAGGAGGAUGUGGCAAAACCAAGGAGAGACUCACAGACUAGCACCUGACCCUACUGCCCUUGACCUGAAGUUCCAAGAGCCAGGUUAAAUAUCCUGCUUAAAUUACCCUGGAUUUUUCUGUCUUUACGUGACCAAUCCCCUGCUACAGCCUUCCAAAUAAGACUCACAGGUAAUCAGACCAACAAGUGAUGGUCUCACAUGGCUACAAAAUAAAUAUUUUUUGUUUUUCCCCCUCUUCCUAUCUUACAACAGGGGAAUGGUGGAAAUUAAAGGAGUAAAACACACAGAUUUAGGGGAUUUUGUGAAGCUAAACACCUCAGAGAGUUUAACCUUUGUAGGCUUUGAAGGAAAAGAGUGCAAACAUCAGAGUUCUGCAGCCCAGCAGAGAACACCUCCAGUUAAGUGUGUACCACAUAGGGUUUUUCAGCAGCGUGAUCUUCUGUUUUCAUUGUCAGUGGCUCCACCUUACAACCUCAGUGCUGAGGAACAGAAGGGCACUCAGGAGAGCCUGAGCCACUUACUUAGAAAGUAUUUAAUAACAGCACACUAAGCUUACUGGGCUAGAUACCCACCUCAGCACCCAGCUUGAUAACAGGAGGAAACAGCUGGAACUGGAGACUGGAGAGAAGGAAGUUCAUACAUUUCCAACUUGGUCUGCAUCUCUUUAGUUCCUUGUAUUGCUUAUUAAUCCAGAGGAGAAAACAGCUAGUUAAUUAAAAAUUCCAAAAAAUCUGAAGUUUUAGCUAAUAGUUACUUCCCUGGUUCAUCAAUUUAAGAUAAGGAUCUAAAUACUGUGUUAAAAUAUAGAAAAACGGAGACUCUUAUAAGGUUUUUGACCUCUACACUUGAAAGUGAGCUCUUACAAGAAACUAAUCAGUGUUUCGUUAUUCCAUAUCAGUGGCUUUUACUGUCAAAGAUUGUGUAAGCUAAAUUAUCUGGCAAAAUUUUGCUUUCCAGAAAUACUAUCUAUAUUAAUUUUAACAUUUUUAUUGUGAAAUAUAGUUUAAAUACAUAAAGCAAUUAUAUAGUAUAAGUGAUUAUAAAGGAAACCACCAUGUAACCAAUCAACCAGGUCAAGAAAUGGAAUAUUUCCAGCAACUCAGAAGUUCCCCUCCCUGCCAUGACCUUCCCGAACACAACUCUUUCCCUCCCUCCUAAGUGUAGUCAUUAUUCUAACAUUUGUGAUAAUCAUUUCCCUGCUUUUCUUUGUCGCUUUGUCGCAAGCAUGCAUCCCUAAACAAUAUAUUGUUUAGUCUCACUCUUUCUUUUGAACUUUAUGUAACUGGAACAAUAUAAUAUGUAAUCUGUUGUUCUUGCUGCUUUUGCUCAACAUUGUUUUUAAUUCAUAUGUUGUUCAGGUUGUUCCUAUAGCUGUAAUUUGUGCAUUUUCAUUGCUGCAUAUUACAGUGUCCCAUUAUAACAAUAUGUGACAAUAUGUUUAGCCAUUCUAUUGCUGAUGGACAUCUGGGUUGUUUCCAGUUUAGGAUUGUUAUAAAUGCUAAUGUGAACAUUCUUCAUAUAUGUAUUCCAUCACAUCUACGUCAGUUUCUGUAUAACAUAUACCUGGGAGUGUAAUAUGUAUCAUAAACUUGAAUAAAUAAUGCCAAGUUCUUUUCUAGAGGGUUACACAGUCACAAAAAAAAAAAAAAAAAAAAA